GUCGUCAUCGCCACCCACUCACCAGAGAUAAGUAUCUAGAAAUAUGAUAUCAGGUCCUAGUUUUGAUUACCCCCAGGUCACGUGUGUUCUCUAAAUAUAAACCUUUGCCUUAGUUUUCUCUUCCUGAAACUGUCCUCGACAGCCUUGACAGCUGACGUCAGUUUGUUCUUCACACCUGUUCUACAGACAUACUAUCAUGGCAGCCUCAGACAUGGCUUCUGUACAGACAAACAUGACAUGUGCAAUAUGCACAGAAGUUUUUACAUCCCCGAGAUUCCUGCCCUGUCAUCACACCUUCUGUCUAGAGUGUCUAGAGCAACUGGCAAAUCGCCAUGGAAACACCGUCCCGUGUCCUACCUGUAGAGCUCCUGCUACUGUACCGCCAGGUGGUGUGCGUGCUCUACAAGUCAACUUCUACUUCACUGACGAAGCUCUAGAGCAGGCACGUAGUGAUGAAAGCCAUUCAAAGUGUUAUGUCCACACUAAAGAAGCUGUGGAGCAGGCAUGUAGUGAUGAAAGCCAUUCGAUGUGUCCUGUACACACUAAAGAACGUGUCAUAUUUUACUGCGACCAGUGUGACCAAGUCAUCUGCUUGAGAUGUAAGCUGACUAAACACGAGGGGCAUGUAACCGAAGAUCUGUCCGAGACCGCAAGUCGUUGUCAGCAAAUCAUUAAACAGGAACUGCAUCAUCUAGAGGAAUCCACUGACUACAUAACCAACAAUUUUUUACAAUAUUUGAAAGAAAAUGAGAAACGAGCCCGAGAGAAACGAAAUGGAAUCUCCAAACAGAUUCAAGACCGGUUCGACUUAAUUGUAGCAAUGGCAAAAGAAUAUCGUGACCAAGCACAACAACAACUGGAAGAAAUCUCCGAUAGUUUGGAAAAAGAAAUGGCUGCUGACAUACAGCGAGUACAAAGCAAACUUAACUCCCUUCUACAGCUUAACGACCGCAUUAGACUAGCCCUGACUUCAGGCUGUGACAUGGAGGUCCUGCAGGUGAUGAAAGAGAUAAUAAAGGGAAAAGGAAGCUCCAAGCGCCUAAAAGAACUUGGUAAUGCAGUGCCUGAUACGUGUUUCUGUCCCGGCCUUCAUGGCGACUUCACCAACCACAUUAAAGAGGACAUCAAGAGGUUCAUUGGGAUCCCUGUCAGACUGGAAUUUCCGAUUGGACAAAACGUGGACACGGAAUGCUUGAGUCAAUCUGAUGAUAGCGAUUGAAGGGAAGUGCACGCUCUUCUUCAAAAAGAGAACAAAAGUAUUGAUAUAAUUUAUGGAAGAACAGGAGGGGACUUUUCCAAACAGAAACACAUGACAUGGGGGUCUGCAGGCUCUAAAUGUAUAAAGAACACAUAUGAAACGGGGAUAACAUGCGUCACACGUAAACCUUAUAUUUGGGAAUGGGAAGAGUCGGAGUUCAGGGCAUUUGGUUCUAAGAGUGUAAGCAUGCUUGCUAUUGUUCAGAAUUAUACAAAGGACAUAUGCUAUAUUAGUCCAGUGGAGCUAGAAUAUGAAAAUGGAAAGGUAACACGUAUUUUAGGUGACCCUCUGCUUUUUCCGCGGGUAGAAAGCGUACAUAACUUUGACGCAAACCUUCCUGGAUCUUUCUUUGCUGUGGUAGACGAAGAGGAGUAUCAAGACGAAGAUGAAAAUUCAAGUGAU
rnacentral:misc_RNA from 1 species